rnacentral:rRNA from 1 species
CCUACGGGGGGCUGCAGUGGGGAAUAUUGGACGAUGGGGGCAACCCUGAUCCAGCCAUGCCGCGUGUGUGAAGAAGGCCCUCGGGUUGUAAAGCACUUUCAGUGAGGAAGAACGCCUGGUGGUUAAUACCCAUCAGGAAAGACAUCACUCACAGAAGAAGCACCGGCUAACUCCGUGCCAGCAGCCGCGGUAAUACGGAGGGUGCGAGCGUUAAUCGGAAUUACUGGGCGUAAAGCGCGCGUAGGUGGCUUGAUAAGCCGGUUGUGAAAGCCCCGGGCUCAACCUGGGAACGGCAUCCGGAACUGUCAAGCUAGAGUGCAGGAGAGGAAGGUAGAAUUCCCGGUGUAGCGGUGAAAUGCGUAGAGAUCGGGAGGAAUACCAGUGGCGAAGGCGGCCUUCUGGACUGACACUGACACUGAGGUGCGAAAGCAUGGGUAGCAAACAGGAUUAGAUACCCGUGUAGUC